UACGUAGGCGGAAAAUUAAGUCAGUAGUGAAAUCCUGCAGCUUAACUGUAGAACUGUUAUUGAUACUGGUUUUCUUGAAUUUAAUUGAGGUAGGCGGAAUGUGUAAUGUAGCGGUGAAAUGCUUAGAUAUUACACAGAACACCGAUUGCGAAGGCAGCUUACUAAGCUAUGAUUGACGCUGAGGUACGAAAGCGUGGGGAGCGAACAGGAUUAGAUACCCUGGUAGUCC
rnacentral:rRNA from 1 species